rnacentral:misc_RNA from 1 species
GUGAAUCAUCGAAUCUUUGAACGCACAUUGCGCCUCCCGUAACUGGGAGGCAUGCCUGUCUGAGCGUCAUUCAACCCAUAAAUCUGAAUGGAUUUGUAUUGGGCUUCGCCCGUAGGGCGUCGCCUUGAAGCCAUCGGUCUAAAAGAGCGGACGAGAUCCUCAGGGACUGACCGUUUCGACGACCCUAAAAACUCUGACUUGACCUCAGAUCAGGUAGGACUACCGCCUGAACUUAAGCAUAUCAAUAAGCGGAGGA